GCGCCCUUAGCUCAGCUGGAUAGAGCAACGGACUUCUAAUCCGUAGGUCGCUGGUUCGAAUCCAGCAGGGCGCGCCA
rnacentral:tRNA from 1 species